CUUGCUAAGUUUGAUGGCGACCGGCGCACGGGUGAGUAACACGUAUCCAACCUGCCGAUGACUCGGGGAUAGCCUUUCGAAAGAAAGAUUAAUACCCGAUGGCAUAGUUCUUCCGCAUGGUAGAACUAUUAAAGAAUUUCGGUCAUCGAUGGGGAUGCGUUCCAUUAGGUUGUUGGCGGGGUAACGGCCCACCAAACCUUCGAUGGAUAGGGGUUCUGAGAGGAAGGUCCCCCACAUUGGAACUGAGACACGGUCCAAACUCCUACGGGAGGCAGCAUG
rnacentral:rRNA from 1 species